rnacentral:rRNA from 1 species
CACGUAGGGUGCGAGCGUUGUCCGGAAUUAUUGGGCGUAAAGAGCUCGUAGGCGGCUUGUCACGUCGGGUGUGAAAGCCCGGGGCUUAACCCCGGGUCUGCAUUCGAUACGGGCUAGCUAGAGUGUGGUAGGGGAGAUCGGAAUUCCUGGUGUAGCGGUGGAAUGCGCAGAUAUCAGGAGGAACACCGAUGGCGAAGGCAGAUCUCUGGGCCGUAACUGACGCUGAGGAGCGAAAGCAUGGGGAGCGAACAGG